GAAAUGCGAUAAGUAAUGUGAAUUGCAGAAUUCAGUGAAUCAUCGAAUCUUUGAACGCACAUUGCGCCCUCUGGCAUUCCAGAGGGCAUGCCUGUUUGAGCGUCAUUUCCUUCUCAUACACUCGUGUGUGGUUGUGGGUGAUACUCUGUGAGUUAACUUGAAAUUGUGAGCGUAGUGCGGGCAGCGUGAAGGCGGGCCUUGUCGUGUUAGGUUUUACCAAGUACGGCUGUGGGGCGAGCUGGAAGAGCGGUCUUUUUUGUGCUACGGCGUAUAUCUCAACGUUUGACCUCAAAUCAGGUAGGACUACCCGCUGAACUUAA
rnacentral:misc_RNA from 1 species